rnacentral:rRNA from 1 species
GGUCAAGCUACUAAGGGCGUACGGUGGAUGCCUUGGCGCCAGACGGCGAAGAAGGACGUGGUUACCUGCGAAAAGCCUCGGGGAGGGGGAAACACCCUUUGAUCCGGGGAUCUCCGAAUGGGGAAACCCUUCCGGGUAAAACCCGGAAACGGCCCGCUGAAUCCAUAGGCGGGUGCGAGCCAACCCAGGGAAGUGAACCAUCUCAGUACCUGGAGGAAGAGAAAACAACCGUGAUUCCGCUAGUAGCGGCGAGCGAAAGCGGACCAGCCCAAACCCAGCCUUCCACAGUGAGCCAGUGAAUCAGUGAGGUCAGUGAGUCAUUGAGAAAGGCCAAUGAUUCAGUGAUUCAGCUACUCAGUGACUCAGUGUGGAGGGUUGGGGGUUGUAGGGCGUGCGUCGGUUUAGAGCCAGAGAGUUACCAAUCCGGCGGCUAGUCGAACGACUUGGAAAAGUCGGCCAAAGAAUGUGAUAGCCAUGUAGGCGAAAGCUGACCGGACUCUCACGCGCGUUCCUGAGUACCGCGGGGCACGAGAAACCCUGCGGGAAUCCACGGGGACCAUCCCGUAAGGCUAAAUACGUUCUGGCGACCGAUAGUGAACCAGUACCGUGAGGGAAAGGUGAAAAGAACCCCGGCGAGGGGAGUGAAAAGUACCUGAAACCGUAUGCCUACAAACAGUCGAAGGGCUACGACCCAGGAGCAAUCCUGGGACAAGCCUGACGGCGUGCCUAUUGCAUAAUGAGCCGGCUAGUUAUUGUCCGUCGCAAGGUUAAGCGAUGAUCCCGCAAGGGGGAGCGAGCCGUAGCGAAAGCGAGUCUGAAUAGGGCGUUGAGUGGCGGGCAAUAGACGCGAAGCGGGAUGAUCUACCCUUGGUCAGGGUGAAAGCCGCGUAACAGCGGCCGGAGGCCCGAACCGGUGUUGGUUGAAAACAGCUCGGAUGAACUGAGGGUAGGAGUGAAAGGCCAAUCAAAUUCCGUGAUAGCUCGUUCUCCUCGAAAUAGCUUUAGGGCUAGCCUCGGACGAUCGCUCGCGGUGGUAGAGUACUCGAUGGACUAGGGUCCGUUAACGGAUACCGAAUCCAACGAAACUCCGAAUGCCGCGAAGCGCAGUCCGGGAGUCAGACAGCGGGGGCUAAGCUUCGUUGUCGAGAGGGAAAUAGCCCAGACCGCCAGCUAAGGUCCCGAAGCGAUGGCUAAGUGGGAAAGGAAGUGAAGUCGCUCAGACAGCCAGGAGGUUGGCUUAGAAGCAGCCAUCCUUUAAAGAAAGCGUAACAGCUCACUGGUCGAGCGUCUUUGCGCCGAUAAUUCAACGGGGCUCAAGCCAUCUACCGAAGCUGCGGAUUUGCAGGCCCGCGAGGGUCUGCAUCUGGUAGAGGAGCGUUGAAUACAGUUUGAAGCGAGACCGCGAGGGCUCGUGGACCGUAUUCAAGUGACCCUGCCGGCAUAAGUAGCGAUAACGGAGGUGGGAACCCUCCGCGCCGAAAGUCUAAGGUUUCCUGAGAAAGGUUAAUCCGCUCAGGGUCAGUCGGUCCCUAAGGCGAGGCCGAAAGGCGUAGCUGAUGGACAGCCGGUUAAUAUUCCGGCACUACGACUGGGGCGUUAUGACGAAGCGGGGACGCAGGAGGCUAGCGGAGUCGGCUGAUGGCUUAGCCGAUGUGCGCUCCAAGGAGGAUCCGGCAGGCAAAUCCACCGGGUCGGUUCAAAGCCAACUCUGAGGGGUGAGCCGAAGGGUCUUAGACCCUAUAAAGUCCGCGAUGUCACGCUGCCAAGAAAAGCCGCUAAGCAGUCCUAGUCGCAACCGUACCCCAAACCGACACAGGUAGACGAGGUGAAUAUCCAAAGGCGCUUGAGAGAACACUCGCUAAGGAACUAGGCAAAUUAGCUCCGUAACUUCGGGAGAAGGAGUGCCUCGCUAGGGUUCAGAGCCCGAGGAGGCCGCAGUGAAACGCGCUCUGCGACUGUUUAACAAAAACACAGGUCUCUGCUAAGUCGAAUACGACGUAUAGGGGCUGACGCCUGCCCGGUGCCGGAAGGUUAAAGGGAGAGGUCAUCCCGCCGCAAGGCGGGGGCAGCUUCGAUCUGAAGCCCCGGUGAACGGCGGCCGUAACUAUAACGGUCCUAAGGUAGCGAAAUUCCUUGUCGGGUAAGUUCCGACCUGCACGAAUGGCGUAACGAUAGAGCGACUGUCGUGGCGAGUGACUCAGCGAACUUGUAGUACCGGUGAAGAUGCCGGUUUCCCGCACCUAGACGGAAAGACCCCGUGCACCUUUACUACACCCUAGCCCUGAACUAUGGGGCUGUCUGCGCAGGAUAGGUGGGAGGCUUUGAACCUUGCUUCUCGGGGCAGGGGGAGCCAACGGUGAGAUACCACCCUGAUGAUUCUGUGGUUCUAACCUCGGCCCGUAAUCCGGGUCAGGGACAUGGCUAGGCGGGUAGUUUGACUGGGGCGGUCGCCUCCUAAAUUGUAACGGAGGCGCUCCAUGCUUGGCUCAGGCUGUUUGGAAAUCAGCCGUCGAGUGCAAGGGCAUAAGCCAGGCUGACUGCGAGACCAACAAGUCAA